rnacentral:lncRNA from 1 species
UGCUUUUUGAUUCAGGAUGGAAAACCAUUUCUCCUUCAAUAUGAAUGCAGCCAAGAGCAUUGAGUAUGCCGUCUUUCGAAACGAAGUAUUGAGUCGACGAAUCUCCGGUGCUAUUGGAGCAAACCCGACGAUGAUUUGAACUUUGUGGUGGGGCGGUUUUAAGGUCGGAUCUUGCACGACGCGUCCAUGAAACAGAGAUUUGAAUCGAGUGUUAUGGUUGACAUUUUUACGAACACUUGGCAUGCUUCAUUCCUCUCUUGCAUCAAGAAUGCGACACUAAAACCAUCUUAUCAAUUCAAUAAUUUGUAACAAACUGUAGAAGAUGAUGUACGCGAAAAAAAUGAUGUGCGGUGUUCACACGGUUACGGAGGUUAGUAAGUGGUUAUUGGUGGUUUGGAGUUGUUGCUCAACCGGCAGUGAGGGUGGUUCGCUCUUAUACGGUUGUUGCAGAGAGAAACAUUUGUGUUGUUGUUAACGGCGCUAACGUAGGUUGCGGGUCUGAAAUACGGUGUUGAAUACGAUGAAACUUGAAGGUUGGAAGGAAGGCGAUGGCUAUGGAUUUGUUGUGGUGGUUGGCCGGAAGACGAAAAUGGGAGGUAAUCCGGUGAUGGAAGCAAGGUUGUUUUGGUGAGACGGUGAAGAUGACGGUGUCGUCGGAAGUUGUGAUUUGGAGAGUCUGUGAGGGAAGAGAGACGGAUUUCUUUAAUUUAUUUUCUUUUUCUUUUACUGAGAGAGACUGAUGGAGUGGAUAGGUGGUGAUGGAAAUGAGGGUAACGUGUGAGAGAGAGGAUGCGUGAGGGAGAAAGGAAACGUGAGGUGAAUAUUAAUUUUAUUUUCCUUUUCCUUUUUUAUUAACAAUUCUUAUUAUCUAUUAUUUAAAGAAAG